rnacentral:misc_RNA from 1 species
GAUGAAGAACGUAGCGAAAUGCGAUAAGUAAUGCGAAUUGCAGAAUCCGUGAGUCAUCGAAUCUUUGAACGCACAUUGCGCCCUUUGGUAUUCCGGAGGGCAUGCCUGUUCGAGCGUCAUUAUCACCCCUCAAGCCCGGCUUGUUGUUGGAUGCAGCGCUUAUCCCGCUCCUCCCAAAGAUAAUGACGGCGUCUGCGACGACUCCUGUACACUGAGCUUUCGGGCACGUACACGGCUAGAAGUCCAGACCCGGUCGCCGUCCCCCCCGCGGGGACACCCAUUACCACAAGGUUGACCUCGGAUCAGGUAGGAAUACCCGCUGAACUUAAGCAUAUCAAUAAGCGGAGGA